GGGUUGUGAGGUUAAGCGACUAAGCGUACACGGUGGAUGCCCUGGCAGUCAGAGGCGAUGAAGGGCGUGCUAAUCUGCGAUAAGCGCCGGUAAGGUGAUAUGAACCGUUAUAACCGGCGAUACCCGAAUGGGGAAACCCAGUGUGACUCGUCACACUAUCAUUAACUGAAUCCAUAGGUUAAUGAGGCGAACCGGGGGAACUGAAACAUCUAAGUACCCCGAGGAAAAGAAAUCAACCGAGAUUCCCCCAGUAGCGGCGAGCGAACGGGGAGGAGCCCAGAGCCUGAAUCAGCAUGUGUGUUAGUGGAAGCGUCUGGAAAGGCGCGCGAUACAGGGUGACAGCCCCGUACACAAAAGCGCAUGUGCUGUGAGCUCGAUGAGUAGGGCGGGACACGUGGUAUCCUGUCUGAAUAUGGGGGGACCAUCCUCCAAGGCUAAAUACUCCUGACUGACCGAUAGUGAACCAGUACCGUGAGGGAAAGGCGAAAAGAACCCCGGCGAGGGGAGUGAAAAAGAACCUGAAACCGUGUACGUACAAGCAGUGGGAGCCCCACCACCAAAGCAUUAUCUGGUGUUGAAGGCCCUGCAAAGCAGCAUCGCGGUGGCGGAGCGUCGUUUGCGACGCCCAACACACAAAACAAGCGGUGAAUGCUUUGGGGUGGGGUGACUGCGUACCUUUUGUAUAAUGGGUCAGCGACUUAUAUUCUGUAGCAAGGUUAACCGAAUAGGGGAGCCGGAGGGAAACCGAGUCUUAAUUGGGCGUUAAGUUGCAGGGUAUAGACCCGAAACCCGGUGAUCUAGCCAUGGGCAGGUUGAAGGUUGGGUAACACUAACUGGAGGACCGAACCGACUAAUGUUGAAAAAUUAGCGGAUGACCUGUGGCUGGGGGUGAAAGGCCAAUCAAACCGGGAGAUAGCUGGUUCUCCCCGAAAGCUAUUUAGGUAGCGCCUCGUGAAUUCAUCUCCGGGGGUAGAGCACUGUUUCGGCUAGGGGGCCAUCCCGGCUUACCAACCCGAUGCAAACUGCGAAUACCGGAGAAUGUUAUCACGGGAGACACACGGCGGGUGCUAACGUCCGUCGUGAAGAGGGAAACAACCCAGACCGCCAGCUAAGGUCCCAAAGUCAUGGUUAAGUGGGAAACGAUGUGGGAAGGCCCAGACAGCCAGGAUGUUGGCUUAGAAGCAGCCAUCAUUUAAAGAAAGCGUAAUAGCUCACUGGUCGAGUCGGCCUGCGCGGAAGAUGUAACGGGGCUAAACCAUGCACCGAAGCUGCGGCAGCGACGCUGAUGCGUUGUUGGGUAGGGGAGCGUUCUGUAAGCCUGCGAAGGUGACCUGUGAGGGUUGCUGGAGGUAUCAGAAGUGCGAAUGCUGACAUAAGUAACGAUAAAGCGGGUGAAAAGCCCGCUCGCCGGAAGACCAAGGGUUCCUGUCCAACGUUAAUCGGGGCAGGGUGAGUCGACCCCUAAGGCGAGGCCGAAAGGCGUAGUCGAUGGGAAACGGGUUAAUAUUCCCGUACUUGGUGUUACUGCGAAGGGGGGACGGAGAAGGCUAUGUUGGCCGGGCGACGGUUGUCCCGGUUUAAGCGUGUAGGUGUGUGUUCCAGGUAAAUCCGGUUCACUUUAACACUGAGGCGUGAUGACGAGGCACUACGGUGCUGAAGCAACAAAUGCCCUGCUUCCAGGAAAAGCCUCUAAGCAUCAGGUAACAUCAAAUCGUACCCCAAACCGACACAGGUGGUCAGGUAGAGAAUACCAAGGCGCUUGAGAGAACUCGGGUGAAGGAACUAGGCAAAAUGGUGCCGUAACUUCGGGAGAAGGCACGCUGACACGUAGGUGAAGUGAUUUACUCACGGAGCUGAAGUCAGUCGAAGAUACCAGCUGGCUGCAACUGUUUAUUAAAAACACAGCACUGUGCAAACACGAAAGUGGACGUAUACGGUGUGACGCCUGCCCGGUGCCGGAAGGUUAAUUGAUGGGGUCAGCGCAAGCGAAGCUCCUGAUCGAAGCCCCGGUAAACGGCGGCCGUAACUAUAACGGUCCUAAGGUAGCGAAAUUCCUUGUCGGGUAAGUUCCGACCUGCACGAAUGGCGUAAUGAUGGCCAGGCUGUCUCCACCCGAGACUCAGUGAAAUUGAACUCGCUGUGAAGAUGCAGUGUACCCGCGGCAAGACGGAAAGACCCCGUGAACCUUUACUAUAGCUUGACACUGAACAUUGAGCCUUGAUGUGUAGGAUAGGUGGGAGGCUUUGAAGUGUGGACGCCAGUCUGCAUGGAGCCGACCUUGAAAUACCACCCUUUAAUGUUUGAUGUUCUAACGUGGACCCGUAAUCCGGGUUGCGGACAGUGUCUGGUGGGUAGUUUGACUGGGGCGGUCUCCUCCUAAAGAGUAACGGAGGAGCACGAAGGUUGGCUAAUCCUGGUCGGACAUCAGGAGGUUAGUGCAAUGGCAUAAGCCAGCUUGACUGCGAGCGUGACGGCGCGAGCAGGUGCGAAAGCAGGUCAUAGUGAUCCGGUGGUUCUGAAUGGAAGGGCCAUCGCUCAACGGAUAAAAGGUACUCCGGGGAUAACAGGCUGAUACCGCCCAAGAGUUCAUAUCGACGGCGGUGUUUGGCACCUCGAUGUCGGCUCAUCACAUCCUGGGGCUGAAGUAGGUCCCAAGGGUAUGGCUGUUCGCCAUUUAAAGUGGUACGCGAGCUGGGUUUAGAACGUCGUGAGACAGUUCGGUCCCUAUCUGCCGUGGGCGCUGGAGAACUGAGGGGGGCUGCUCCUAGUACGAGAGGACCGGAGUGGACGCAUCACUGGUGUUCGGGUUGUCAUGCCAAUGGCACUGCCCGGUAGCUAAAUGCGGAAGAGAUAAGUGCUGAAAGCAUCUAAGCACGAAACUUGCCCCGAGAUGAGUUCUCCCUGAGACUUUAGGUCUCCUGAAGGAACGUUGAAGACGACGACGUUGAUAGGCCGGGUGUGUAAGCGCAGCGAUGCGUUGAGCUAACCGGUACUAAUGAACCGUGAGGCUUAACCUUACAACGCCGAAG
rnacentral:rRNA from 2 species